rnacentral:lncRNA from 1 species
AAACAAUUAGGUCUGAGAGACUUCCUUAGCAAUCUACAAUGCCUUCCUCCUCUACACCGAGGCAGUGCUUGCGCAGUUUUGAGAGAGGGUCCUGCGGAAAGCCCAGGCCAGUUCUCGCGGCCUCUGGGCUGGACCAGGCUCUGCUCUGAGCGCGCUGCUCGGCGGCCCCGCGGGCGAGCCUACCGCUUCCCACGGCGACUCGGGCUCCAGCGCCAGGCGCUGGCGCGGACCCGCUUCCGUUCCGGGAGAGCGAGGGGCCCGAAACUUCACCUUCGCCCUGGACCUCAGAACACCGACCCGAGGCCGAAGCAAAGCCCCCGCCCCGCGCCAGUCCCGGGCGGCGGAGGCGAAGCCCACCGAGCCUAGAGAGAGCGAAGCCGCCCCCUGCUGGCCAGAUGAGGCAGGCGCGGCCAACAGCUCCGCUCCCCUCCGUCCCGCCGGCGCGCCUGCCCGGACCCAGCGCGACCCUCCUGUGCCCCCAGCGAGGGGGACGUGUUCAAAGAAACAGAAAACAAAACAAAAACAAACCAAGGGCCAAAACCACUCUCACCUCGUUUGCUGCUCAAAGUGAUCAGAGAACAAAGGAAUCCUUGAAGAAAGUGAGACUCAAAGCAUCGCAGGAUAUAUGAUUUCUGAUUCUUUGUUCAGAAAACAAGGGCAUCCAUGCCAGCCAGUGCUUCGAUGGUGAGAAAAUUACUCUGCUUCAUGAAGAGCCAUUCAGCAGGAUACUGGCAGUCCACUUUCUCGUGUUAAUUAUUUCUGCCCUGAUUGCCUGGCAACACAUAACAUGGAAAGCAUUAUACUUUGCUAUUUGUGAAUUCCAGCUGAAUGCAGGAAGAAAAUGGAAUACAAAGUCAGCUGGAGAUGCAACUUAAUAAGUUAGAAUAAUUUCCUUCCUCAUUUAGGACAUGGUCUGAAAGAAUAGAAGAUGGUGGUCAUUCUUCAACAGUUUGACAGCCUACACUGCUUCAGAUGUGGCAAAGUUUAUUUCAAAAAGUAAAAGUCAAGAAUGACAGAGAAACUGGCUCUACAGAGUGAGCCAGGUGAAAGAGGAAAAAAGCAAGAUAAAAGCACACCCUGGAGAAAGCAGGGCUGGAUACCAUGAAGAAAGCCAUGAUAGUCUUAUUUUGUUUUCAUUUCCUGUGAAGCCCUAUUCAUCUCCUUUGUUCAUUUUACUUGUUGUGUUUUUUGAUGUUUAUCUAUUUGUACAUGAAUUUGGUAAUUUAGAUAUAAGCUUUUUGUUUAUUCAUAGGCAUUGCAAAUAUCUUCUCAAUGUGUACUUGUGUUUUAAAUUUUUCUAUUGUUAUGCAUAUGUUUUAAAUUUAAGUGUAAUUAAGAAUAUUUUUUCUUGUAUGUUUUAGACUUUCAGAAUGAGCAAAAUCACAUCCUAAAAAUAUCCUAUACUUUCUUCUUCUAAAACUUUAGAUUUAAUUUUCACAGGUAAAUUUUCAGUUCACUUUAGAUUUUUAUAAAAUGUAUUUUUAAAAUUUACGUGAGCUAAAAUUCCUAUUUCUUUUCUUUUCCUUCUCCCCAUUCCCAACCAGUUUUGUGAGAUUUAACAGUUACAUAGCUUUACAGGAACACUAUCACAGUCAAAAUACAGAACACUUUGAUGAAGGGAAAGUUUCCCUUAGAUUGCCCCUGGGCAAACUCCCUGCCCUAAAUCCUGGCAACCACUGAUUUGUUCUGUAUCCCUAUAGAUUUUUUUUGGUUGUUUGUUUUGUAUCAGAUACUGGGGAUUGAAGCCAGGCCUUCAUGUACUGAGCUACCUCCCCAGUCUCCUCAGUUCCUAAUUUCCCAGUCUGGGGUUGAAUGCUAGAUCCUUUUGCUCAGCCUCAAUACUGGGAUUACAGCUAUGUGCCUCUAUGCUGG